rnacentral:rRNA from 1 species
GUCGAGAAUAAUUCACAAUGGACGAAAGUCUGAUGGUGCAACGCCGCGUGGAGGAUGAAGGUCUUCGGAUUGUAAACUCCUGUCAUCGGGGAGUAAGACCUGGCGGUAAAUAGCCGACAGGGUUGAUAGUACCCGAAGAGGAAGGGACGGCUAACUUCGUGCCAGCAGCCGCGGUAAUACGAAGGUCCCAAGCGUUGUUCGGAAUCACUGGGCGUAAAGGGAGCGUAGGCUGCGCGGUAAGUCAGGUGUGAAAUCCCGGGGCUCAACCCCGGAACUGCACCCGAUACUGACGUGCUAGAGGGUUGGAGAGGUGACUGGAAUUCUCGGUGUAGCAGUGAAAUGCGUGGAUAUCGAGAGGAACACUCGUGGCGAAGGCGAGUCACUGGACAACAUCUGACGCUGAGGCUCGAAGGCCAGGGGAGCAAAAGGGAUUAGAAACCCCGUAGUCC